rnacentral:rRNA from 1 species
CAAACCAAAGCUGGCGACCGGCGCACGGGUGAGUAACACGUAUCCAACCUGCCUCAUACUCGGGGAUAGCCUUUCGAAAGAAAGAUUAAUAUCCGAUAGCAUAUAUUUCCCGCAUGGGUUUUAUAUUAAAGAAAUCCGGUAUGAGAUGGGGAUGCGUUCCAUUAGUUUGUUGGGGGGUAACGGCCCACCAAGACUACGAUGGAUAGGGGUUCUGAGAGGAAGGUCCCCCACAUUGGAACUGAGACACGGUCCAA